UAUAAAUGUGGCGGCCCUCAGGUC
rnacentral:piRNA from 1 species